UAGGGAAUCUUCCGCAAUGGGCGAAAGCCUGACGGAGCAACGCCGCGUGAGUGAUGAAGGUCUUCGGAUCGUAAAACUCUGUUAUUAGGGACGAACAAAUGUGUAAGUAACUAUGCACGUCUUGACGGUACCUAAUCAGAAAGCCACGGCUAACUACGUGCCAGCAGCCGCGGUAAUACGUAGGUGGCAAGCGUUAUCCGGAAUUAUUGGGCGUAAAGCGCGCGUAGGCGGUUUUUUAAGUCUGAUGUGAAAGCCCACGGCUCAACCGUGGAGAGUCAUUGGAAACUGGAAAACUUGAGUGCAGAAGAGGAAAGUGGAAUUCCAUGUGUAGCGGUGAAAUGCGCAUAGAUAUUGAGGAACACCAGUGGCGAAGGCGACUUUCUGGUCUGUAACUGACGCUGAUGUGCGAAAGCGUUGGGAUCAAACAGG
rnacentral:rRNA from 1 species